rnacentral:rRNA from 1 species
UACAGAGGUCUCAAGCGUUUGUUCGGAUUCAUUGGGCGUAAAGGGUGCGUAGGCGGCGCGGUAAGUCGGGUGUGAAAUCUCGGAGCUUAACUCCGAAACUGCAUUCGAUACUGCCGUGCUUGAGGACUGGAGAGGAGACUGGAAUUUACGGUGUAGCGGUGAAAUGUGUAGAGAUCGGGAGGAACACCCGGUGGCGAAGGCGGGCUCUGGCAUUCCG